rfam:Schistosoma margrebowiei strain Zambia genome assembly, scaffold: SMRZ_scaffold0001112
AUCUAGUUGAUAUGUCCCUAAUAGGACGAAACGUGCGUCCUGGAU